CAUUUGAGUGAGUGGCGAACUGGUGAGUAACACGUGGGAAACCUGCCCAGAAGCGGGGGAUAACACCUGGAAACAGAUGCUAAUACCGCAUAACAACUUGGACCGCAUGGUCCGAGCUUGAAAGAUGGCUUCGGCUAUCACUUUUGGAUGGUCCCGCGGCGUAUUAGCUAGAUGGUGGGGUAACGGCUCACCAUGGCAAUGAUACGUAGCCGACCUGAGAGGGUAAUCGGCCACAUUGGGACUGAGACACGGCCCAAACUCCUACGGGAGGCAGCAGUAGGGAAUCUUCCACAAUGGACGAAAGUCUGAUGGAGCAACGCCGCGUGAGUGAAGAAGGGUUUCGGCUCGUAAAACUCUGUUGUUAAAGAAGAACAUAUCUGAGAGUAACUGUUCAGGUAUUGACGGUAUUUAACCAGAAAGCCACGGCUAACUACGUGCCAGCAGCCGCGGUAAUACGUAGGUGGCAAGCGUUGUCCGGAUUUAUUGGGCGUAAAGCGAGCGCAGGCGGUUUUUUAAGUCUGAUGUGAAAGCCUUCGGCUCAACCGAAGAAGUGCAUCGGAAACUGGGAAACUUGAGUGCAGAAGAGGACAGUGGAACUCCAUGUGUAGCGGUGAAAUGCGUAGAUAUAUGGAAGAACACCAGUGGCGAAGGCGGCUGUCUGGUCUGUAACUGACGCUGAGGCUCGAAAGUAUGGGUAGCAAACAGGAUUAGAUACCCUGGUAGUCCAUACCGUAAACGAUGAAUGCUAAGUGUUGGAGGGUUUCCGCCCUUCAGUGCUGCAGCUAACGCAUUAAGCAUUCCGCCUGGGGAGUACGGCCGCAAGGCUGAAACUCAAAGGAAUUGACGGGGGCCCGCACAAGCGGUGGAGCAUGUGGUUUAAUUCGAAGCUACGCGAAGAACCUUACCAGGUCUUGACAUACUAUGCAAAUCUAAGAGAUUAGACGUUCCCUUCGGGGACAUGGAUACAGGUGGUGCAUGGUUGUCGUCAGCUCGUGUCGUGAGAUGUUGGGUUAAGUCCCGCAACGAGCGCAACCCUUAUUAUCAGUUGCCAGCAUUAAGUUGGGCACUCUGGUGAGACUGCCGGUGACAAACCGGAGGAAGGUGGGGAUGACGUCAAAUCAUCAUGCCCCUUAUGACCUGGGCUACACACGUGCUACAAUGGAUGGUACAACGAGUUGCGAACUCGCGAGAGUAAGCUAAUCUCUUAAAGCCAUUCUCAGUUCGGAUUGUAGGCUGCAACUCGCCUACAUGAAGUCGGAAUCGCUAGUAAUCGCGGAUCAGCAUGCCGCGGUGAAUACGUUCCCGGGCCUUGUACACACCGCCCGUCACACCAUGAGAGUUUGUAACACCCAAAGU
rnacentral:rRNA from 1 species